rnacentral:lncRNA from 1 species
GUGACUAUGUAUAGACAGUCAAUGUUUGUGGAAAAAAUCCAUGUACAUUAAUUAUCUCUUCGUUGACUUCUGAGAAAGUUAAAAACAUUCUCCCCGAACCCUUUUUACUUAGACAAUGGGUUCAAAUAAGACAGGUUCCAUUAUAACUGUAUCGGCCAAUCAGUAUAUUUUAGAAUAAAUCAUGAUGAAUUUAUAUAUUUAUUCUUUUCCUUUAUUAAAAAGAAAAAAAAAC